rnacentral:rRNA from 1 species
GAUGAACGCUGGCGGCGUGCCUAAUACAUGCAAGUCGAGCGAACAGACGAGGAGCUUGCUCCUCUGACGUUAGCGGCGGACGGGUGAGUAACACGUGGAUAACCUACCUAUAAGACUGGGAUAACUUCGGGAAACCGGAGCUAAUACCGGAUAAUAUAUUGAACCGCAUGGUUCAAUAGUGAAAGACGGUUUUGCUGUCACUUAUAGAUGGAUCCGCGCCGCAUUAGCUAGUUGGUAAGGUAACGGCUUACCAAGGCAACGAUGCGUAGCCGACCUGAGAGGGUGAUCGGCCACACUGGAACUGAGACACGGUCCAGACUCCUACGGGAGGAAGCAGUAGGGAAUCUUCCGCAAAGGGCGAAAGCUUGACGGAGCAACGCCGCGUGAGUGAUGAAGGUCUUCGGAUCGUAAAACUCUGUUAUUAGGGAAGAACAAAUGUGUAAGUAACUAUGCACAUCUUGACGGUACCUAAUCAGAAAGCCACGGCUAACUACGUG